ACUCAAAGGAAUUGACGGGGGCCCGCACAAGCGGUGGAGCAUGUGGUUUAAUUCGAUGCAACGCGAAGAACCUUACCUACUCUUGACAUCCACAGAAGACAGUAGAGAUACGGUUGUGCCUUCGGGAACUGUGAGACAGGUGCUGCAUGGCUGUCGUCAGCUCGUGUUGUGAAAUGUUGGGUUAAGUCCCGCAACGAGCGCAACCCUUAUCCUUUGUUGCCAGCACGUGAAGGUGGGAACUCAAAGGAGACUGCCGGUGAUAAACCGGAGGAAGGUGGGGAUGACGUCAAGUCAUCAUGGCCCUUACGAGUAGGGCUACACACGUGCUACAAUGGCGUAUACAAAGAGAAGCUACCCUGCGAAGGCAUGCGGACCUCAUAAAGUACGUCGUAGUCCGGAUUGGAGUCUGCAACUCGACUCCAUGAAGUCGGAAUCGCUAGUAAUCGUGGAUCAGAAUGCCACGGUGAAUACGUUCCCGGGCCUUGUACACACCGCCCGU
rnacentral:rRNA from 1 species